rfam:Glycine soja cultivar W05 scaffold4724_57, whole genome shotgun sequence.
UUUUGAUUGGACGAUGAUUGUCACGUGUCAUGUUCUGAUUGACCAAUAACAACAAUAAUACAUUUCAUCAUCCAUAGAAUCGACAUCCAAUCAGAACAUGACAAGUGACCAUAAGAUUGU